rnacentral:rRNA from 1 species
UACGUAGGGUGCAAGCGUUGUCCGGAAUUAUUGGGCGUAAAGAGCUUGUAGGCGGUUUGUCGCGUCUGCUGUGAAAUUUCGGGGCUCAACCCCGAACUUGCAGUGGGUACGGGCAGGCUAGAGUGUGGUAGGGGAGACUGGAAUUCCUGGUGUAGCGGUGAAAUGCGCAGAUAUCAGGAGGAACACCGAUGGCGAAGGCAGGUCUCUGGGCCACUACUGACGCUGAGAAGCGAAAGCAUGGGGGAGCGAACAGG